rnacentral:rRNA from 1 species
GACGAGGGGUCCUAGCGUUGCUCGGAAUCAUUGGGCGUAAAGCGUAUGUAGGCGGUUUAGUAAGUCGGGUGUGAAAUCCCUGGGCUCACCCCAGGACGUGCAUUUGAUACUGCUAAGCUUGAGUAUGGGAGAGGAUAGUAGAAUUCCUGGUGUAGUGGUGAAAUACGUAGAUAUCAGGAGGAAUACCGGUGGCGAAGGCGGCUAUCUGGCCCAAUACUGACGCUGAGAUACGAAAGCGUGGGGAUCAAACAGG